GUAGUCCACGCCCUAAACGAUGCAUAUUUGGUGUGGGUCAUUCAUUUGAUCCGUGCCGGAGCUAACGCGUUAAAUAUGCCGCCUGGGGAGUACAGUCGCAAGGCUGAAACUCAAAGGAAUUGACGGGGGCCCGCACAAGCGGUGGAGCAUGUGGUUCAAUUCGACGCAACGCGAAGAACCUUACCUAGGCUCGAACGGCUUUAGACAAUCCUCAGAAACGAGGACUUCCCGCAAGGGACUGGAGUCGAGGUGCUGCAUGGCUGUCGUCAGCUCGUGUCGUGAGAUGUUGGGUUAAG
rnacentral:rRNA from 1 species